rnacentral:rRNA from 13 species
UGGGGSGKKCUWMACAUGCAGUCGACGAUGAACCACUUCGGUGGGGAUUAGUGGCGAACGGGUGAGUAMCACGUGGGCAAUCUGCCCUGCACUCUGGGACAAGCCCUGGAAACGGGGUCUAAUACCGGAUAUUGACCUUCACGGGCAUCUGUGAGGUUCGAAAGCUCCGGCGGUGCAGGAUGASCCCGCGGCCUAUCAGCUUGUUGGUGAGGUAAUGGCUCACCAAGGCGACGACGGGUAGCCGGCCUGAGAGGGCGACCGGCCACACUGGGACUGAGACACGGCCCAGACUCCUACGGGAGGCAGCAGUGGGGAAUAUUGCACAAUGGGCGAAAGCCUGAUGCAGCGACGCCGCGUGAGGGAUGACGGCCUUCGGGUUGUAAACCUCUUUCAGCAGGGAAGAAGCGAAAGUGACGGUACCUGCAGAAGAAGCGCCGGCUAACUACGUGCCAGCAGCCGCGGUAAUACGUAGGGCGCAAGCGUUG